rnacentral:rRNA from 1 species
AAACAUUGGCAACACAAAACACCCGUUGCCCGCCCGGGCACUACGAGCAUUAGCUUAAAACCCAAAGGACUUGGCGGUGCUUUAGACCCACCUAGAGGAGCCUGUUCUAGAACCGAUACCCCCCGUUAAACCUCACCCCUUCUUGUCAUUACCGCCUAUAUACCGCCGUCGUCAGCUUACCCUGUGAAGGAUUAGUAGUAAGCAAAGUUGUCACAACCCAAAACGUCAGGUCGAGGUGUAGCCCAUGAAGGGGGAAGAAAUGGGCUACAUUCACUAAUUAAGAGAAUACGAACGAUGUAUUGAAACACACGUCCAAAGGAGGAUUUAGCAGUAAGCAAAAAAUAGAGCGUUUU